rnacentral:rRNA from 1 species
UACGUAGGGUGCGAGCGUUUGUCCGGAAUUACUGGGCGUAAAGAGCUCGUAGGUGGUUUUGUCGCGUUGUUCGUGAAAACUCACAGCUUAACUGUGGGCGUGCGGGCGAUACGGGCAGACUGGAGUACUGCAGGGGGAGACUGGAAUUCCUGGUGUAGCGGUGGAAUGCGCAGAUAUCAGGAGGAACGACCGGUGGCGAAGGCGGGUCGCUGGGCAGUAACUGACGCUGGAGGAGCGAAAGCGUGGGGAGCGAACAG